rnacentral:rRNA from 1 species
AUGGCAAUCAUGCCAGCAAUACCGACAAGCACACAUGUGCACACCAGCACAAGCAACACUCAAGCAGGUGAAACAGCCGCCGAUACUGAAGUGAAUGAUGAAACCGAUGAUGAAGCACAAGGGGAUGAAGAUGGUGGGCAAUCAGAAAUCAUGGUACCCCAGCCACCGUAUCUUGGGCAGAGAUUUGAUUCGUUUGCCGAUGCAAAGGAAUUCUACCAGACAUAUGCAAAGUUCCAUGGGUUUGCGGUCAACACCGAAUACCAUAGGAAAAUUAAAAAAACUAACGAGUACAGCAGAGGUGAGAUGAGGUGCUACAAGGCACGAAGAAACAAGAAGGGCAAAGGUGAUGCGCCUGUCGUUCCGGAACGAAAGAGAGGUAGCAUUGUCAAGACGGAAUGCCCUAUCCGGUGUAAGCUGAACGUAGAUGGAGCACAGUGGGUGGUCACUGAAUAUUUUGACGAGCACAACCAAAAGCUAAUAAAGAAGUUUGGCCUGGUAAAAUUUCUGACCGCCCACAGAGGAUUCACCCCCCUCGAGAAGAAAUUCAUAAAGCUGCUACAUGAUUGUAACGUCGGUCCAUCAAGAAUGGUGCAGAUACUCUCCCUCAUCCACAGCAAAAAGGGGUCUCUGAGUAGCAUGCGCUACCUACCAGCAGACGUCACAAACCUAAAGGCAAAGUACCAUAGAGAAAGCAAGUUGGCUGACAUAGAAGACACGAUAGCCUACUUCGAUGAGAAAGCUAAAGAAGAUCAAGAUUUCUUCUAUAGGAUAAGAUUGGACGAUGAGGACCAUGUCAGGAACAUGUAUUGGGUGGAUGGUGCUGCAAGAAGAGCCUACAAACAUUUCCGAGACUACAUUUCUUUCGACGCGACAUAUCUCACUAAUAUGUACAAGAUGCCAUGCGCUCCAUUCAUAGGAAUAAAUAACCACAAUCAGUCAUUGCAGUUCGGAUGCGGGCUCGUUCGGAACGAAGACACGGAUGGGUACGUUUGGCUGUUCAAGACCUUCUUGGAGCGCAUGGGUGGACUUGCUCCGAUGAACAUAAUAACAGAGCAGGAUUUUAGCAUGCGUGCAGGCAUAAAGGAGGUCUUUCCGUUGGCAUUGCACAGGCACUACAUGUGGCACAUUAUAAAGAAGGCUGAGGAGACACUAGGACCGUUCUUUGCUGACCGACUAGACCUGCACAAGGCAUUCGAGCUGUGCGUGGACCACAGCUUGAUGGUGGAGGAGUUUGAAAGGAGCUGGAUGGCUAUGGUUGAAACAUAUCAAGUCCAAGACCACCAGACGCUUGCUAGCUUGUGGGAGAAGCGAAUGUACUGGGUGCCGGCCUACUUCAUGCAGUGCUUCUUCCCGUUUCUGCAGACUACACAGCGCAUUGAGGGGUUCAAUGCUGUUUUGAAGCGGUACAUGAGCCCUGGCAACUCAUUGCUACAGUUUGCCAAGCAGUACACCGCUUUGCAACAAAAAAUACUGGGAUCCGAGCUACAGCAAGAAGCAAACACCGCGCUCAAGCAGCCAAAACUGCUAACGUAUUUACCAAUGGAGAGGCAGAUGAGCAAGAUAUACACCAACAUGAUUUUUAACAAAUUCCAGGAAGAAUUAAAGCGUGCCAGCAUGUACACGGCUUUCCAGGUGGACGAAUAUACGUUCAAGGUGUGUUGUAUUAUGGGCAUGUCGGAUUCAGAACCUGAAGACCCAGACAAGGGAAGGAACUACUUUGUGAAGGCAUCGAUAAGCGAAGGCGAAUACUAUUGCCAAUGCUGCAAAUUCGAAUGCGACGGGAUUGUGUGCUGUCACAUUCUAAAAGUAAUGGACUUGAACGCGGUGACACGAAUGCCCCGCCAUUUCAUAAGGCGGCGAUGGACUUGGGACGCUGACGACGCAUUGGCGCCGCAAACAUCAAACGCAGUUUUGGCCGUGCAUGACGAGACACCAGAGUCAACCAUGGAAGCCGUGAGGCACGUUGUGUUGACAAAGAACUAUGCUGAACUAAUUGAUGAAGCAUGCAAGAGUGAUGAGACAGCAAGGGUCGCAGAAAAACACAGGAAGGCCCUCAAAAGAGAGCUUAAUGAGAUCAAGAAGAGGAAAGCUGAGGAAGCCUUACACAGGUUCCCCCGCACAUCAAGCGUGCCUUCGUCCACAGGGCCAUCAUCUGAAAACUCGGAGGUAGGAUCUGGAACAGCAAGCACACAAACACAGGUUAGGAACCCGCCCCGUUCAAUCAUAAAAGGGCGUCCAAAAGAGAUAAGAUACAAAUCGGGAUUUGAGAUUCAAGCAAAACACAAGAAACCAAAGAAAGGGACGGGCAAUCCAUAA